GUUUGGAUAAGGUUUAAAACCAAACAGGCUAGCAUUUGAGUAGAUUGGGGGGUAUUAUAAUAAAGAAUCUUUGAAAUCCAUCCUACAGAUUUUAUUUUUUAUUUUUACUUACUUAUUUUUUGCUUUUUAGGGCUGCAUCCGCAGCAUAUGGAGGUUCCCAGGCUAGGGGUCAAAUCGCAGCUGCAGCUGCUGGCCUACACCAUAGAUAGCCACAGCAACACUGGAUCCUUCACCCACUGAGAGAGGCCAGGGAUCAAACCCCAAACCUCAUGGUUCCUAGUUGGAUUCAUUUCCGCUGUGCCACGACGGGAACUCCACACUCUCUUCUUUGUGAUGAGAACUUUUAAGUCUACUCUCUUAGCAACUUUCAAAUAUACAAUAUGGUAUUGUUAACUGUGUCACCAUGCUGUACAUUACAUCCCCAGGUCUUAGUUAUUUUAUACCUUUUAACCACUGUUACCAUCCAUUACACCUAUUCCCCACCCCCUGCCUCUGGCAACCACCAGUCUGUUCUUUGUAUUUAUGAGGUUUUUGUUUUUUUAAGUUUCCACCUAUAAGUGACAGCAUAUAGUAUUUGUCUUUCUCUGUCUGACUUAUUUCACUUAGCAUCAUGCCCUCAAGGUCCAUCUGUAUUUACUCAGAUAUCAGGAUUGCCUUCUUUUUCAUGAUUGAAUAUACCCCAUUGUAUAUAUAAACACAUUUACUGUUACUAUCCAUUUAUAGACACUUAGGUUGUUUCCAUGUCCUGGUUGGUGUAAAUAAUGCUGCAGUGAAUGUGGGGGUGCAGGUAUCUUUGUGAGAUAGUGAUUUUGUUUCUUCAUCUAACUACCCAGAAGUGGAAUUGCUGUUUCAUGUGGUAGUUCAAUUUUUAAUUCUUUUUUUUUUUUUUUUGUCUUUUGUCCUUUUAGGGCUGAACCCUUGGCAUAUGGAGGUUCCCAGGCUAGGGGUCUAAUUGGAGCUGUUGCUGCCAGCCUGUACCACAGCCAGAGCAACGCAGGAUCUGAGCCUCAUCUGCGACCUACACCACAGCUCACAGCAACACCGGAUCCUUAACCCACUGAGCAAGUCCAGGGAUUGAACCCAUACCUCAUGGUUCCCAGUCAGAUUUGUUUCUGCUGUGCCACAAUGGGAACUCCUCAAUUUUUAAUUUUUUGAGGAACUUCCAUAUUGUUUACAUAGUGGAUACACCAGUUUACAUUAGCACCAACAAUGCACAAGGAUUGAAUAGCCUUUUUUUAAUGAAAAUCUAUUCAAAAAAAUUAAACACACACAUAUAAAACUUGUCAGCAUUUUCACAUAUAUAUAGUUUUUUCUUCUAUUGAAAUUAUGCUUUUUAUUUUUUAAUUUAAUUUAUUUAUUUUUGUCUUUUUGCCUUUUCUAGGGCCCCUCCUGCGGCAUAUGGAGGUUCCCAGGCUAGGUGUCUAAUUGGAGCUAGAGUUGCUGGCCUACGCCAGAGCCACAGCAACGCGGGUUCUGAGCCACAUCUGUGACCUACAUACACCACAGCUCACGGCAACGCCAGAUCCUUAACCCACUGAACAAGGCCAGGGAUCAAACCCGAAACCUCAUGGUUCCUAGUCGGAUUCUUUAACCACUGAGCUACUACGGGAACUCCCAAAUUAUGCUUUUUAAACUCAAGUAAAACAACAUCUGUAAUUGCACAUAAACAUUGUCUUAGCUUUUUUUUAAACUGAAGAUUUCCCUUUUUGAUGAAAAUUUAGAAACUAUUUCACAUGAAUUGUGUAUCCAUAAUGCUAUAUCUUUGAACAAAUUUUAUGUGAAAUGGAACUAUAUGGCUUGGGAUGUGGGUUGAGCAGUUUGAGGAAGAGUAAAUUGACCUCAGAAUUUAAUUCAGAGUUUAAAACUGCUGAUGAGGCAAGAGUUGCCACUGGGAAUGGAGAGCAGUGUUGAAUAGGAGUGGGUCACAGAUAAUGUGGUUUAGCAGAUUAGGGGUGGAAUAAUGGGUGCAAAAUUUCUUCUUUGCUCAUACUAUGAAACUGGGAGUAGGGCUUUCAUCAAAACUUCAGUCUUCCUGACUCUCUGGUUGCUUUACUGUAUCCCAGUGUCUCUUUUGGCAACCCCUAACUUUAUCCUUGUUGUAGCAGCAGUGUUAACCCCAGGCUGAUGGUGAGAUGAUGGAUUGGAGUUACUUAGCUAUAGGUGAGGUUUACAAAAAAAAUUGUUAGAAAGUGAUUGGUUGGGAUUAUCAUUCUAAGAACAUUUUUAAAUGAGUUUCUGAAAUUAGACUCCAGGGUGAUAUUGUGAAGUUAGGAGUGUUUGGUUAUAGUUUGCUUAGUGUUGUUACAUGGUAUGGUACUUGAGGGAAUUCCAAACAUUUCUGAUUUCUUAUUGGAAUUAAAGAAAAGUUUGAAGUUAAAAUAUUGGCUUAUCUGGAGUUCCCUUGUGGUGCAGUGGGUUAAGGAUCUGGCAUUGUCACUGUGGUGACUUGGGUUGUUGCUGUGGUGCGCCGCGAGUUCAGUCCCUGGCCCAGGAACUUCCACAUGUUGUGGGCAUGGCCAAAGAAAAAAAAAAAA
rnacentral:lncRNA from 1 species